GAGUAGAAAAGUUUCUUUUAUCAGUGGUCUGAUUUCUAGCAAAGACUUGUCCCAGCACUGAAGAGGGGAGAAAAACAUAGGAUACAUCCAGCUUUGUUUACAAUGAGGUUGGCAGCACAACGCUUCUAAGUGUUCAGACAAGAGGAGUUUUGGAAUCCUGUCAAGAAAAAGUUUCUAUAGCUCUAUGUAUUUGGAAGGGAAAUCCUGGAAGAGAAAAGAGUCAGACUGAAUCCUAGAGCAUUCAUGAACAACACCAACCAACAUGUAGUUCUCUGACACGGAACCAAACCGUGAAGAGCUACUGCCUUCCAGGAAUUAAGUAGCACCACUGGAAUUGCUUCUGCAAACCCUUUGAGCUGGCGUUUGGAGAUUGCUGACCUACCCUGUGUUACUGUAAAACACUCCUACAUCACUGACACAGAACUCUCACCUCACACCUUACACCUCUCAUGUAAUCUUUUAUUACAUGAAGAAACUUCUGCACAUAACACAGACCUACUGCGGUCCUUUCUUCUUACUUUCAAUCUUGCAUGUUGAUGAAAGUAUAAACUAGAGACAAUUCCUUUGGCAGGGUGACUGAAAAUAAUUUGGAUGAUGGGACUGUAGCCAUCUAAGUUGAACUAUUCAUAGAGUCCAAAUAAUUAACUAUAUUUUUUAGCAGUUUUCCAUUAAUAAGAAAUUCUGUUGUAGGAGUCUGUGUAUUUAGGUUUUUAUUCAAGCUGAUGAUGUUUGCUUCAGUAAAAGUGUGGUGUUUGGACCAUAUGCUCAAAUGUUAACAUGUUUAAUGCCAGCAGCAGAAUAUUUACAUUAAAGGAUAUGGAGCCAAGUUAAACUCAAUUGCAACUUUAUUCACUGGAUUACAGUGUUACCAGCAAAAAAUAGCUGUGAUAUCUUGCUUUUUUUCCUCUUUCAUUUUUCAAACAGGCUGAGGCAGAUCUGCCCUUUUUGGAAGUUGUGCUCUAAUUACCAUUUUAAGCCCUAGUGCAGCAGGGUAGAGGGGGAAUGCCAAGAGGUAUUCUGCUUGAACCUGAAGCUCUUGAGAAGGAGGGAUAGGAAGGUAAGUAUAUGCAGAAUUUU